ensembl:lncRNA
UGUAGGGUUAGUGUAGUGUAUGGUUAGUAUAGUGUAGGGUUAGUGUAGUGUAUGGUUAGUGUGGUGUAGGGUUAGUGUAGUGUAUGGUUAGUAUAGUGUAUGGUUAGUGUAGUGUAUGGUUACUGUAGUGUAUGGUUAGUGUAGUGUGGCGUUAGUGUAGUGUGGGGUUAGUGUAGUGUGGGGUUAGUGUAGUGUAGGGUUAGUGUAGUGUGGGGUUAGUGUAGUGUGGGGUUAGUGUAGUGUAGGGUUAGUGUAGUGUAUGGUUAGUGUGGGGUAAGGGUUAGUGUAGUGUAUGGUUAGUAUAGUGUAUGGUUAGUGUCGUGUGGGGUUAGUGUAGUGUAGGGUUAGUGUGGUGUAGGGUUACUGUAGUGUAUGGUUAGUGUAUUGUGGGGUUAGUGUAGUGUGGGGUUAGUGUAGUGUGGGGUAGUUGUAGUGUGGGGUUAGUGUAGUGUGGGGUUAGUGUAGUGUAGGGUUAGUGUAGUGUAGGAGUGUAGGGUUAGUGCAGUGUGGGGUUAGUGUAGUGUAGGAUUAGUGUAGUGUAUGGUUACUGUAGUGUAUGGUUAGUGUAGUGUGGGGUUAGUGUAGUGUGGGGUUAGUGUAGUGUGGGGUUAGUGUAGUGUGGGGUUAGUGUAGUGUGGGGUUAGUGUAGUGUAGGGUUAGUGUAGUGUAGGGUUAGUGUAGUGUAGGAUUAGUGUAGUGUGGGGUUAGUGUAGUGUGGGGUUAGUGUAGUGUAGGGUUAGUGUAGUGUAGGGUUAGUGUAGUGUAUGAUUAGCGUAGUGUGGGUUUAGUGUAGUGUGGAGUUAGUGUAGUGUGGGGUUAGUGUUGUGUUAGUGUAGUGUAGAGUUAGUGUAGUGUGGUGUUAAUGUUGUGUAGUGUGGGGUUAGUGUAGUGUGGGGUUAGUGUAGUGUAGGGUUAGUGUAGUGUGGGGUUAGUGUAGUGUGGGGUUAGUGUAGUGUGGGGUUAGUGUAGGGUUAGUGUAGUGUGGGGUUAGUGUAGUGUAGGGUUAGUGUAGUGUGGGGUUAGUGUAGUGUGGGGUUAGUGUAGGGUUAGUGUAGUGUGGGGUUAGUGUAGUGUGGGGGUAGUGUAGUGUAGGGUUAGUGUAGUGUGGGGUUAGUGUAGUGUAGGAUUAGCGUAGUGUGGGUUUAGUGUAGUGUGGAGUUAGUGUAGUGUGGGGUUAGUGUAGUGUUGUGUUAGUGUAGUGUAGAGUUAGUGUAGUGUGGAGUUAGUGUUGUGUUAGUGUAGUGUGGGGUUAGUGUAGUGUAUGGUUAGUGUAGUGUGGGUUAGUGUAGUGUGGAGUUAGUGUAGUGUGGGUUAGUGCAGUGUAUGGUUAGUGUAGUGUGGGUUAGUGUAGUGUAUGGUUAGUGUAGUGUGGGUUAGUGUAGUGUAGAGUUAGUGUAGUAUGGGUUAGUGUAGUGUAUGGUUAGUGUAGUGUGGGUUAGUGUAGUGUAGGGUUAGUGUAGUGUGGGUUAGUGUAGUGUAGAGUUAGUGUAGUGUGUGUAUGGUUAGUGUAGUGUAGAGUUAGUGUAGUGUGGGGUUAGUGUAGUGUUUAGUGUAUGGUUAGUGUAGUGUAG